rnacentral:rRNA from 1 species
CGAACGGGUGAGUAACGCGUGAGGAACCUGCCUCAAAGAGGGGGACAACAGUUGGAAACGACUGCUAAUACCGCAUAAGCCCACGGCUCGGCAUCGAGCAGAGGGAAAAGGAGCAAUCCGCUUUGAGAUGGCCUCGCGCCCGAUUAGCUAGUUGGUGAGGUACGGCCCACCAAGGCGACGAUCGGUAGCCGGACUGGGAGGUUGAACGGCCACAUUGGGACUGAGACACGGCCCAG